rnacentral:rRNA from 1 species
UACGGAGGGAGCUAGCGUUGUUCGGAAUUACUGGGCGUAAAGCGUACGUAGGCGGUUACUCAAGUCAGAGGUGAAGGCCCGGGGCUCAACCCCGGAACUGCCUUUGAAACUAGGUAGCUAGAAUCUUGGAGAGGUCAGUGGAAUUCCGAGUGUAGAGGUGAAAUUCGUAGAUAUUCGGAAGAACACCAGUGGCGAAGGCGACUGACUGGACAAGUAUUGACGCUGAGGUACGAAAGCGUGGGGAGCAAACAGG